rnacentral:rRNA from 1 species
UGGGGAAUAUUGGACAAUGGAGGAAACUCUGAUCCAGCAAUUCUGUGUGUGUGAAGAAGGUUUUGGGACUGUAAAACACUUUUAGUAGGGAAGAAAAAAAUGACGGUACCUACAGAAGAAGCAACGGCUAAAUACGUGCCAGCAGCCGCGGUAAUACGUAUGUUGCGAGCGUUAUCUGGAAUUAUUGGGCUUAAAGGGCAUCUAGGCGGUAAGACAAGUUGAAGGUGAAAACCUGUGGCUCAACCAUAGGCUUGCCUACAAAACUGUUGAACUAGAGUACUGGAAAGGUGGGUGGAACUAAACGAGUAGAGGUGAAAGUCGUAGAUAUGUGUAGGAAUGCCGAUGAUGAAGAUAACUCACUGGACAGAAACUGACGCUGAAGUGCGAAAGCUAGGGGAGCAAACAGG